rnacentral:rRNA from 1 species
AGAGUUUGAUCCUGGCUCAGGACGAACGCUGGCGGCGUGCCUAAUACAUGCAAGUAGAACGCUGAAGGAGGAGCUUGCUUCUCUGGAUGAGUUGCGAACGGGUGAGUAACGCGUAGGUAACCUGCCUGGUAGCGGGGGAUAACUAUUGGAAACGAUAGCUAAUACCGCAUAACAGUAGAUGUUGCAUGACAUUUGCUUAAAAGGUGCAAUUGCAUCACUACCAGAUGGACCUGCGUUGUAUUAGCUAGUUGGUGGGGUAACGGCUCACCAAGGCGACGAUACAUAGCCGACCUGAGAGGGUGAUCGGCCACACUGGGACUGAGACACGGCCCAGACUCCUACGGGAGGCAGCAGUAGGGAAUCUUCGGCAAUGGACGGAAGUCUGACCGAGCAACGCCGCGUGAGUGAAGAAGGUUUUCGGAUCGUAAAGCUCUGUUGUAAGAGAAGAACAGGUGUGAGAGUGGAAAGUUCACACUGUGACGGUAUCUUACCAGAAAGGGACGGCUAACUACGUGCCAGCAGCCGCGGU